rnacentral:rRNA from 1 species
UACGAAGGGAGCUAGCGUUGUUCGGAAUCACUGGGCGUAAAGCGCACGUAGGCGGCUGUGCCAGUCAGGGGUGAAAUCCCGGAGCUCAACUCCGGAACUGCCUCUGAUACAGCACGUCUUGAGUCCGGAAGAGGUGGGUGGAAUUCCUAGUGUAGAGGUGAAAUUCGUAGAUAUUAGGAAGAACACCGGUGGCGAAGGCGGCCCACUGGUCCGGUACUGACGCUGAGGUGCGAAAGCGUGGGGAGCAAACAGG